GACGAACGCUGGCGGCGUGCUUAACACAUGCAAGUCAACGAUGCUUGCGUAGCAAUAUGCAAGUAGAGUGGCGCACGGGUGAGUAUCGCGUAUGCAAUCUGCCUUUGGCUCUGGAAUAACAUCUCCAACGAGGUGCUAAUACCGGACGACGCAGCGGCACCGCAUGGUGACAGUUGUUAAAGCUUCGGCGGCCAAAGAUGAGCAUGCGUCCCAUUAGGUAGUUGGCGGGGUAACGGCCCACCAAGCCAAUGAUGGGUAGCUGGUCUGAGAGGAUGAUCAGCCACACUGGGACUGAGACACGGCCCAGACUCCUACGGGUGCAG
rnacentral:rRNA from 1 species